GACAGAGGGUGCAAACGUUGCUCGGAAUUACUGGGCGUAAAGCGCGUGUAGGCGGAUCGGAAAGUCGGGCGUGAAAUCCCCAGGCUCAACCUGGGAACUGCACCCGAAACUCCCGGUCUUGAGUGGUGGAGAGGGAAGUGGAAUUCCUGGUGUAGAGGUGAAAUUCGUAGAUAUCAGGAGGAACACCAGUGGCGAAGGCGGCUUCCUGGACACCAACUGACGCUGAGACGCGAAAGCGUGGGGAGCAAACGGG
rnacentral:rRNA from 1 species